rnacentral:rRNA from 1 species
AUUGAACGCUGGCGGCAGGCCUAACACAUGCAAGUCGAACGAGUGGCGGACGGGUGAGUAAUGUCUGGGAAACUGCCCGAUGGAGGGGGAUAACUACUGGAAACGGUAGCUAAUACCGCAUACCAUCGGAUGUGCCCAGAUGGGAUUAGCUAGUGGGUGGGGUAACGGCUCACCUAGGCGACGAUCCCUAGCUGGUCUGAGAGGAUGACCAGCCACACUGGAACGGAGACACGGUACAGAGUCCUACGGGAGGCAGCAGUGGGGAAUAUUGCACAAUGGGCGCAAGACUGAUGCAGCCAUGCCGAGGGUAUGAAGAAGGCCUUCGGGUUGGAAAGUACUGUCAGCGAGGAGGAGGUACUAGCAGAAGAAGCACCGGCUAACUCCGUGGCAGCAGCCGCGGUAAUAC